CAGCCAUUGCACUUGUCUGCUCUAAAAUGGUCCUUGAAAUCCAGGGGGAUUCCAGCACCUCCCAGGGCAGCCGGGAGCUGCGAUUCCUGCCCGGGAGGGGAUGGAGAGCAGGGAUGGGAGUGGGAAAAAUGCAUGUUAUAUGGCUCUACGCAGGUAGGGAUGAGUUAUGGAGCUUGUGGAGGAUCCACCAGAACACAGGAGGGGAAUCUCCCAGGGAGCAGCAGAGGAGAAAUCCUGGUUGGAAAUGGACGGCCCCAAAAAUCCCUGCAAGACAUCAAUAAAGAGCGGCGCUGCAGCCGGCGUGGAGAGCAAGGAAAUGAUAUUACAGCUGGAAAAACCCCGCUCUGCAGCCACAGCAGAGCUAAUAAAAACACAACUGGAGAACAGAAGAGUUUCGGAGCCGCCGAAUAACAUCCAUAGGAUGAUUCAAUUACAGGGGAUUAGCGCCAGGCUGGCUGCAGAACCCAAAUUUCCAACCAAGGUUUGGAAGGAUGAGAACUUCAUAAACCCCAGCCCGCGGUGUGGGGGCUCCAAAGAACGCCAGAGGUGGAGCAGCAAAGCAGAAAGCAAAUAAACCCCUCAUUGGACUCACGAAACAAAUCAUGGGGAAUUUUGUUCUUUCUCCCCAGAGCAGGUUUCAGGCAGGGCAGCAUUUCUUUAGGUUAUCGAUUAGCAAUUAGAGAGGUGUUUUAGCUGCUUCUCUGCUCUGUCCGUUGCUCCCUCCAGAAUUUCAAUUCCACAAGAGCUUUUUUCCACCCAAGUGAGGGCCAGGAAAGCAGCACUGCCUGACCCCUGCCCUCAGGCUCACCAAAAAGCCUCGGGGAGGAGCGGGGAAGGUGGCACUCGGGAAAAAAGAAAAUUGGGAAAAGAAAAAAUAAAAGAGAAAAAUAGGAAAAGAAAAAAA
rnacentral:lncRNA from 1 species